UGUUAAAUUAAACAUUAUCAGUUCGAAUUAACUGUACAGUUGUUCGUAGAUUUAUUCGUCAAGUACUUUUUAGAAUCAAGUAACAAGAUGUUUGUUAGCUUGUUAAUAGUUUUCGUAUUGGUUUGCAGGCAGCAAGCUGGAGGUGUGCCAGACGACAUUCCUACACGUGUUUGUGUCCGACAGUGCAGGGAUGAAUAUUCGCCAGGACCCGAAAUGGCUCAAUGCAUUAAAAACUGUGACAG